AAACUCAUUUUUUUUAGAUUUCCCCCGGGAAGUUUAAGAACGUGUUUUAAUAUCUAGUCAGUUUAAAUGAAGUUGUUAACAGCAACUUUUCUAAAAUUUAAAACUUUCAACAACGGAUCUCUUGGUUCUCGCAUCGAUGAAGAACGCAGCGAAAUGCGAUAAGUAAUGUGAAUUGCAGAUUUUCGUGAAUCAUUGAAUCUUUGAACGCACAUUGCGCCCUCUGGUAUUCCAGAGGGCAUGCCUGUUUGAGCGUCAUUU
rnacentral:rRNA from 1 species